rnacentral:misc_RNA from 1 species
UCGUACAACUGAGGUGCAAAGGCUGUCGCUGACCCCCCAAAGGGGUCGUGCACGCUCGAGCACUCUCACACAAUCCAUCUCACCUUUGUGCAUCACCGCGUGGGUCCCCCUUUGCAGGGAGGGCUUGCGUUUAUCACACAAUACUCAAUACAGUGUAGAAUGUUUCUUUUGCGAUCACACGCAAUCAAUA